GAUGAACGCUGGCGGCGUGCCUAAUACAUGCAAGUCGAGCGAACAGAUGAGAAGCUUGCUUCUCUGAUGUUAGCGGCGGACGGGUGAGUAACACGUGGGUAACCUACCUAUAAGACUGGGAUAACUCCGGGAAACCGGGGCUAAUACCGGAUAAUAUUUUGAACCGCAUGGUUCAAUAGUGAAAGACGGUUUCGGCUGUCACUUAUAGAUGGACCUGCGUCGUAUUAGCUAGUUGGUAAGGUAACGGCUUACCAAGGCGACGAUACGUAGCCGACCUGAGAGGAUGAUCGGCCACACUGGAACUGAGACACGGUCCAGACUCCUACGGGAGGCAGCAGUAGGGAAUCUUCCACAAUGGGCGAAAGCCUGACGGAGCCACGCCGCGUGAGUGAUGAAGGCCUUCGGAUCGUAAAACUCUGUUGUUAGGGAAGAACAAAUUUGUUAGUAACUGAACAAGUCUUGACGGUACCUAACCAGAAAGCCACGGCUAACUACGUGCCAGCCGCCGCCGUAA
rnacentral:rRNA from 1 species